rnacentral:rRNA from 1 species
CUAAGGCCGAUGGCGACCGGCGCACGGGUGAGUAACACGUAUCCAACCUGCCGUCUACUCUUGGACAGCCUUCUGAAAGGAAGAUUAAUACAAGAUGGCAUCAUGAGUCCGCAUGUUCACAUGAUUAAAGGUAUUCCGGUAGACGAUGGGGAUGCGUUCCAUUAGAUAGUAGGCGGGGUAACGGCCCACCUAGUCUUCGAUGGAUAGGGGUUCUGAGAGGAAGGUCCCCCACAUUGGAACUGAGACACGGUCCAAACUCCUACGGGAGGCAGCAGUGAGGAAUAUUGGUCAAUGGGCGAGAGCCUGAACCAGCCAAGUAGCGUGAAGGAUGACUGCCCUAUGGGUUGUAAACUUCUUUUAUAAAGGAAUAAAGUCGGGUAUGCAUACCCGUUUGCAUGUACUUUAUGAAUAAGGAUCGGCUAACUCCGUGCCAGCAGCCGCGGUAAUACGGAGGAUCCGAGCGUUAUCCGGAUUUAUUGGGUUUAAAGGGAGCGUAGAUGGAUGUUUAAGUCAGUUGUGAAAGUUUGCGGCUCAACCGUAAAAUUGCAGUUGAUACUGGAUAUCUUGAGUGCAGUUGAGGCAGGCGGAAUUCGUGGUGUAGCGGUGAAAUGCUUAGAUAUCACGAAGAACUCCGAUUGCGAAGGCAGCCUGCUAAGCUGCAACUGACAUUGAGGCUCGAAAGUGUG